rnacentral:rRNA from 1 species
AAAUCCCACGGCUCAACCGUGGGGCCCGCUGGGGAUACUGCGGGCCUUGGGACCGGGAGAGGCCGGGGGUACCCCCGGGGUAGGGGUGAAAUCCUAUAAUCCCGGGGGGACCGCCAGUGGCGAAGGCGCCCGGCUGGAACGGGUCCGACGGUGAGGGCCGAAGGCCAGGGGAGCGAACCGGAUUAGAUACCCGGGUAGUCCUGGCUGUAAAGGAUGCGGGCUAGGUGUCGGGCGAGCUUCGAGCUCGCCCGGUGCCGUAGGGAAGCCGUUAAGCCCGCCGCCUGGGGAGUACGGCCGCAAGGCUGAAACUUAAAGGAAUUGGCGGGGGAGCACUACAAGGGGUGGAGCGUGCGGUUCAAUUGGAUUCAACGCCGGGAACCUUACCGGGGGCGACGGCAGGAUGAAGGCCAGGCUGAAGGUCUUGCCGGACGCGCCGAGAGGAGGUGCAUGGCCGCCGUCAGCUCGUACCGUGAGGCGUCCACUUAAGUGUGGUAACGAACGAGACCCGCGCCCCCAGUUGCCAGUCCCUCCCGCUUGGGAGGGAGGCACUCUGGGGGGACUGCCGGCGAUAAGCCGGAGGAAGGGGCGGGCGACGGUAGGUCAGUAUGCCCCGAAACCCCCGGGCUACACGCGCGCUACAAUGGGCGGGACAAUGGGACCCGACCCCGAAAGGGGAAGGGAAUCCCCUAAACCCGCCCUCAGUUCGGAUCGCGGGCUGCAACUCGCCCGCGUGAAGCUGGAAUCCCUAGUACCCGCGCGUCAUCAUCGCGCGGCGAAUACGUCCCUGCUCCUUGCACACACCGCCCGUCACUCCACCCGAGCGGGGCCCGGGUGAGGCCCGAUCUCCUUCGGGAGGUCGGGUCGAGCCCGGGCUCCGUGAGGGGGGAGAAGUCGUAACAAGGUAGCCGUAGGGGAACCUACGGCUCGAUCACCUCCU